GACGGGGGGGGCAAGGGUUCUUCGGAAUGACUGGGCGUCAAGGGCACGUAGGCGGUGAAUCGGGUUGAAAGUGAAAGUCGCCAAAAAGUGGCGGAAUGCUCUCGAAACCAAUUCACUUGAGUGGGACAGAGGAGAGUGGAAUUUCGUGUGUAGGGGUGAAAUCCGUAGAUCUACGAAGGAAGGCCAAAAGCGAAGGCAGCUCUCUGGGUCCCUACCGACGCUGGGGUGCGAAAGCAUGGGGAGCGAACAGG
rnacentral:rRNA from 1 species